rnacentral:rRNA from 1 species
AUUGCACGCUCGCAGCCGGCCUAACACAUGCAAGUCGAACGCGUGGCGGACGGGUGAGUCAUGUCUGGGAAACUGCCUGAUGGAUGGGGAUAACUACUGGAAACGGUAGCUAAUACCGCAUACCCUCAGAUGUGCCCAGAUUGGCUUAGCUUGUUGGUGGGGUAACGGCUCACCAAUGCGACGAUCCCUAGCUGGUCUGAGAGGAUGACCAGCCACACUGGAACUGAGACACGGGCCAGACUCCUACGGGAGGCAGCAGUGGGGAAUAUUGCACAAUGGGCGCAAGCCUGAUGCAGCCAUGCCGCGUGUAUGAAGAAGGCCUGCGGGUUGUAAAGUACUUUCAGCGGGGAGGCGUUACCGGCAGAAGAAGCACCGGCUAUCUCUGUGCCAGAAGCAGCGGUAAUUC